CAGCAAACGAACAUACGACAAUAAUUUUACACAACACGAUAUUUAAAAUAAAACGAAGAAUAAAUUAAAAUAUAUAAUGGUCAUACAAUAAUUAGAUUGAAUUUUAUGUACUUUUCUUUUAUUGAGUUUAAUUCAGUUUUCAAUUCUAUAUAAAUUGGGUGAAUAAUUCCAAAUGAUUUUCUCGUCACGUGCAUUUGAUUUUUUAACAUAAAUAUCGAUGAUAAUCGUGAUUUAAACCUCUCUAGAUUGAAUAUUAUUUGUACAUACGCAAAUUAUUAAUCUACAAAAGAAUUAUGGAUAAACCUAGAGAAAAGAUUAGUGAAAAAAUAGAAACUCAGCUCUUGACAAACGUCAUAGACGAAGCGUGUAAUGCAGUUAUUAUACGGAAAAUAUUAGAAGGACAAUACGUGGAUGUAUUGCUUGAAUUAGCAUCGGCCAAAUUAUUUGAAUCGCUUUCUAAUAGCGAUGAUUUACAAGAAAUCAUAUAUAAUAAUAUAAAAAAAGAUACAACAGAUAGCUACGAAUGGUUAUGCCUAAGUAUAGCAUCUUUAUUUUACUUUAUUAAAUGCAAUUGGACAGGUCCGAUUACAGAUGACAGAAGCAUUGAAUUAUUAUCGGUUACAAGAGAAAAAGCACUCAAGUAUUUAUCCCUACAUGAUGAAUGUAAUGAGAAUGUUGAAAAGCCAGAAUUUCUUUAUCUAUCUAAAAUAAUAUUCUCAAAUGAGUAUAUGCAAAACAACUAUAAAAGUUGUAUGUGGUGGUUAUUUAGAGCCAAUCUUCUGCAUCAGUUCAUAUUAGAGGAAACUUCAGGAAAAAUAUUUGAAGAAACGGAAGUGUUAAUUGCAAAUAUUGGUGCUUUAAAUAUUGUACGAUCUACUUUUUCAGAAGCUCUAUUUAAUCUCGAAGUUGCACAAUUUUAUUUGUACUAUAAAAGAAUAGAAUGCUCAGAAAAGUAUUUGGCACAUGUUGAAAAUAUUGCUCAAUUAAGAAUGGAAUUGCAAGGUAUUAUGGGAAAGCGAACAAAAUAUCAAAAAGAAUUGAAGCCGCAAUUAUUUUUAAAAAUAAGUAUGGACAAAGAAGAUACAUUUGAGACAAGAAUUUGCAAAAACUUACCAAAGUCUUUAGAUCUAAAUGAUGAUUUAAGACUAGAACGUACUCAAUUUUCUGAAUUUCAGGAUGAAAUUAGAUUGGGAGCAUUGGAAGAAGCCAUUGUUUUAGCAAGACAUACUCAGUUGCAGUUAUCUCAGCCAAGAGAUAAACUUACGGACGAAGAAAUUAAUCCAUAUGUAACUAAAGUAAUCGAUAAUACAAAAAAUUGGUCAUUAAAAAUGACAGCUCUUUGUUGUCGAUGCAUUUAUGAAGCUAAUGACAAAAGAACUGUAGAGCGAUCAAUGUUACAAGCUGAAUAUUUAUUAAAAGAAAUAAAAGAUUGUAAGGUCACAAUGGCAGAAAGAUUAGACAUAUUUUUUGCCAGUGGAAUGAAACCUAUAUGGAUGUUAGAAAAAAUUUUAGCUAAUAUCAUGCUUAGUCUUGGGUUAGUGAAAGGAGCUUUAGACUUGUUUCUCAAAUUGAAACUUUGGGAAGAUGUUAUUCUUUGUUACAACAUACUAGAAUUGAAACACAAAGCUGCAGAAAUUAUACUCCAAAAAAUUGCUAAAAAACCAACAAUUAAAUUAUGGUGUUUGUUGGGUGAUACAACUGGCGAUGUAAAGCAUUAUGAAACAGCAUGGAAAUUAUCAGAUGAGAAAAGUAGUCGCGCACAGAGGCAUUGGGGGUUCUUUUAUUUUCUAAAAAAAGAUUAUGUCGAAGCUAUACCACACUUACGGUUGUCAGUUGAAUUAAAUAAUAUCCAAGAGGAUGUAUGGCUGAGACUUGGCUUUGCAGCAUUGCAAACGGAGGAUUGGAAACUAGCGGCAAUGGCAUACCGACGAUAUUGUGCUUUAGAGCAAACUACUUUCGAGGCAUGGAAUAAUUUAGCAAAGGCAUAUAUAAAAUUAGGUGAUAAAUACAGAGCAUGGAAAGUCCUUUACGAGGCGAUUAAAUGUAAUCACGAUCGUUGGGAAGUUUGGGAUAAUUUGAUGGCCGUUUGCAUUGAUUUGGGACAAUUUUUAGAAGUAAUAAGAUGCUACAAUCGCAUUUUAGACUUAAAAAAUGAGCAUUCAGAUAUUCAGAUUUUGGAAAUAUUAACGAAUGCUAUUGCAAACGACAUUAAAGAUGUUAAUGGCAAAUCAUGUAGAAACUUAUUACUUCUACCGACACUUCAAUUAUUUGGCAGAAUUACAUCUCGUAUAACUAAUAAUUCAGAUCUUUGGAGAUUAUAUUCUGAAUUAACGAUGCUUAAAAGAACAGAUGUUGAUGAUCAGAAAGCUAUGCAAUAUUUACAGAAAGCAUAUCGUGCUGCUGUAUCAGAACCCAAAUGGUUUCAAAAAGAAAAUACUACUUUAUCUGUUCUACAAUUGUGCUGUAAGUUAUCGAAGACGUAUUUACAUUGUUCGUCUUUUUGUACGGAUCAUAUGAGAUCCAAAAGAGCAUUACUAGGUAGUGCUAAAUUAGCAUUACAAGGAAUUAUAAAAAAAGUCAAAGAUAUAUAUUCAGAAAAUGCUGAGGUAAUGCAAAGUUUACAACAAGUUGAAGAAUAUUUCAAAGAAAUUUCAAGUGAACUGGAAAAAAUAUGUCAUUCAAUAGCCGAUAAAUUUUAAUAACAUUCGUGUAAUAGGAAGUGGAAGCAAAUCAUGAAAUCCAAUCAUUUCCAAAGCAGGGAAAGACAGUGGGAUAGAUUUAGAUGAUGAUAAUGCUAUUGGAGAUUGCAAUUUUCCAGCACAAAACUUAAAGUGUUGUGCCCACAUGUGUUGAUCUGAACAAUUAUAUAAUCAUGUUAGAAAAAGCCAUUUUGAGAGAGAGAGAGAGAGAGAGAAUUGUAUAUGGAUUUAAAUAAAAUUAAGUUUCCUAGAUAAA